ensembl:lncRNA
GGCUGAUGGUCUCUUUAUGUGGGGAGAGGAGGGAGAGGGGUGGCUGAUGGUCUCUUUAUGUGGGGAGAGGAGAGGGUGGCUGAUGGUCUCUUUAUGAGGGGAGAGGAGAGGAGAGGGUGGCUGAUGGUCUCUUUAUGUGGGGAGAGGAGAGGGUGGCUGAUGGUCUCUUUCUGUGGGGAGGGGAGAGGGUGGCUGAUGGUCUCCAUGAGAGGAGAGGGUGUCUGGAACUAAGAGAAUGUUGCUCAGUAGUCAUUCUCAUAUUCCUGUUCCUGUCCUCCUUGAGUUAGAACCAGAACAGAGGAGACAGACAGAGACACAGAGAAACACCUUACGUCAGUACAGAUACCAGACCACAUAACACCAACGUGGACCCACUAGUGGUUGUGCUAGUCAGUAUCUCUGACUCAGACUGCUGUGUUAUGGCAGCUGCUCAUCAGAGCUCUGAAAGCAGACAGGCACAAACAUAGUGCUGUCAUCUUUAUUUCUCUUUCUUAAUGUAAGAAAAUGUGAUAAAGAUGUACAACAGUGAAAUGAGAGUCACACAGGAUACAUGGUUGUACAUCCAGUGUACUUACAGUAACUCAGACAGCGAAUGGGUCCGGGUCAGACAUGUACAAGUUACAGUGUAGUAACUCAGACAGCGAAUGGGUCCGGGUCAGACAUGUACAAGUUACAGUGUAGUAACUCAGACAUGCACAAGUUGUGGUGAAACAUUCUAGGUCAAAGUGCACCACACAUCGCUGUGAGAGGCACUCCCAUCUUAAAGUGAUUCAACCACAUGUGUAACCACAUCUGUGGGAAUGAACCAAUUGUUCAAUGUCAAAUAAUACCCUGCCUGAAUUCAAUCCAAACAGCUAUAGCAUAAUGGUCUUCGUGUUAAUAUCCUUUUAGGUUAGCAGUAAAGUAAUAACCAGUCAAAAGAAAGCAGGCCCACUAAGGGGGCUCUCAAGUGGUCUAAGGCACUGCAUCUCAGUGCAAGAGGCGUCACUACAGUCCCUGGUUCGAAUCCAGGCUGUGUCACAUCUGGG